rnacentral:rRNA from 1 species
UACGGAGGGUGCAAGCGUUAUCCGGAUUCACUGGGUUUAAAGGGAGCGUAGGUGGGCUGGUAAGUCAGUGGUGAAAUCCCCGAGCUUAACUUGGGAACUGCCAUUGAUACUAUCAGGCUUGAAUACUGUGGAGGUUAGCGGAAUAUGUCAUGUAGCGGUGAAAUGCUUAGAUAUGACAUAGAACACCAAUUGCGAAGGCAGCUGGCUACACAAUUAUUGACACUGAGGCUCGAAAGCGUGGGGAUCAAACAGG